AGGUAGGAGCUUGGUGUAGAGAUUUAAAACCCAGUUACGAGAUCAAGGUUAUGAAGUGGAAAAUUGCACAACUUAUAAUUCAGAUUGUUUCUGGUUUUCGAUGACAACGUCAGAAAAGAAAUUUCAUCGGUUUUGUGACAAUACAUGCAUUUGGCAUAAGGAGUUGACGGGAUAAUAC